rnacentral:rRNA from 1 species
CCUACGGGGGGCUGCAGUUAGGAAUCUUCCACAAUGGGCGAAAGCCUGAUGGAGCGACGCCGCGUGAGGGAUGAAGGUUCUCGGAUCGUAAACCUCUGAAUCAGGGACGAAAGACGCGUGAGCGGGAUGACGGUACCUGAGUAAUAGCACCGGCUAACUCCGUGCCAGCAGCCGCGGUAAUACGGAGGGUGCAAGCGUUACCCGGAAUCACUGGGCGUAAAGGGCGUGUAGGCGGGACGUUAAGUCUGGUUUUAAAGACUGCGGCUCAACCGCAG